rnacentral:rRNA from 1 species
GGCCGUAAACGAUGAACACUAGGUGUCGGGGGAAUCGACCCCUCCGGUGUCGUAGCCAACGCGUUAAGUGUUCCGCCUGGGGAGUACGCACGCAAGUGUGAAACUCAAAGGAAUUGACGGGGGCCCGCACAAGCGGUGGAGUAUGUGGUUUAAUUCGAUGCAACGCGAAGAACCUUACCAGGAUUUGACAUCCUGCGAAUCUCUUGGAAACUUGAGAGUGCCUUCGGGAACGCAGUGACAGGUGGUGCAUGGCUGUCGUCAGCUCGUGUCGUGAGAUGUUGGGUUAAGUCCCGCAACGAGCGCAACCCACGUCUUUAGUUGCCAGCAUUUAGUUGGGCACUCUAGAGAGACCGCCGGUGAUAAACCGGAGGAAGGUGUGGAUGACGUCAAGUCAUCAUGCCCCUUACAUCCUGGGCUACACACGUACUACAAUGCUACGGACAAAGGGCAGCAAGUUCGCGAGGACAAGCAAAUCCCAUAAACCGUAGCUCAGUUCAGAUCGUAGGCUGCAACUCGCCUACGUGAAGGAGGAAUCGCUAGUAAUCGCAGGUCAGCAUACUGCGGUGAAUACGUUCCCGGGCCUUGUACACACCGCCCGUCACACCAUGGAAGUUGGCCAUGCCCGAAGCCGUUACUCCAACCCUUGUGGAGGAGGACGUCGAAGGUGGGGCUGAUGACUGGGGUGAAGUCGUAACAAGGUAACCGUA